GCAGCCCUGCAGUAAGGGGGCGGGUGCUAAGGUCCGUCCCCGAGAGGAGAAGAAUCCAGACCGCCAUCUAAGGUCCCGAAGUUCUGCCUGAGUUAGUCUAACGAAGUCCGGUCCCCGUGACAGCUAGGAUGUUGGCUUGGAAGCAGCCAUUCAUUCAAAGAGUGCGUAACAGCUCACUAGUCGAGGGUCCGGGCGUGGAUAAUAAUCGGGUAUAAGGCAGGCACCGAAGGUGCGGGAUAGUAAUGUAUAUUAAAAGUAUCGGUAGGGGAGCAUUCCAUGUGCGUCGAAUGUUGGGGGACGACCCCUGCUGGAGCGCAUGGAAAAGCAAAUGUAGGUAUAAGUAACGAUAAGGAGGGUGAGAUUCCCUCCCGCCGCAAGACCAAGGUUUCCCGGGCAAUGCCAAUCAGCCCGGGGUCAGUCGGGUCCUAAGCCUCAGCCGAACGGCGAGGGCGAUGGCAGACACGGUUAAUAUUCCGUGACUGCUGCAUGAUGCGAUUGCGGAGACGGAGAAGUGACACCGCCGCGGGCUGACGGAACAGCCCGUUGAAGAGAUUAGGCGCAGAUCAUGGCAGGCAAAUCCACCAUGAGAGCUGAAUCUUGAUAGUAUGCCCGUCCCCUCGGGGAAGGGCAAUAGUGCGGGUAAUCAUGCUCCCUAGAAAAUCCGCUAAGCUCCAGUCAUGCAGCACCCGUACCGCAAACGGACACACGUAGUCGGGUUGAACAUACUAAGGCGUUGAGAGAUUCAUGGUUAAGGAACUAGGCAAAUUAACCCCGUAACUUCGGGAAAAGGGGUCCUCGUCAUUUUGACGAGGCGCAGAGAAUAGGUCCAGGCAACUGUUUAACAAAAACACAGGGCUGUGCUAACACGAAAGUUGAUGUAUACAGUCUGACACCUGCCCGGUGCCGGAAGGUUAAGAGGAGAGGUCAUACCUUAGGUAGAAGCCUUGAAUUGAAGCCCCGGUAAACGGCGGCCGUAACUAUAACGGUCCUAAGGUAGCGAAAUUCCUUGUCGGGUAAGUUCCGACCUGCACGAAUGGUGUAAUGAUCCGGACACUGUCUCAAUCAUGAUCUCAGUGAAAUUGUAGUAUCGGUGAAGAUGCCGAUUACCCGCGAUGGGACGAAAAGACCCCGUGAACCUUUACUAUAGCUUAGCAUUGACCUCGGUCAUCCGAUGUGUAGGAUAGGCCGGAGGCUUUGAAGUUGCCGCGCCAGCGGUGAUGGAGCCAUCCUUGAAAUACGGCCCUUUGGCUGUCUG
rnacentral:rRNA from 1 species